AUUGAACGCUGGCGGCAGGCCUAACACAUGCAAGUCGAACGGUAGCACAGAGAGCUUGCUCUCGGGUGACGAGUGGCGGACGGGUGAGUAAUGUCUGGGAAACUGCCCGAUGGAGGGGGAUAACUACUGGAAACGGUAGCUAAUACCGCAUAACGUCGCAAGACCAAAGUGGGGGACCUUCGGGCCUCACACCAUCUGAUGUGCCCAGAUGGGAUUAGCUAGUAGGUGGGGUAAUGGCUCACCUAGGCGACGAUCCCUAGCUGGUCUGAGAGGAUGACGCGCCAACCUGGAACUGAGACACGGUCCAGACUCCUACGGGAGGCAGCAGUGGGGAAUGUUGCACAAUGGGCGCAAGCCUGAUGCAGCUAUGCCGCGUGUAUGAAGAAGGCCUUCGGGUUGUAAAGUACUUUCAGCGGGGAGGAAGGCGGUGAAGUUAAUAACUUCACCGAUUGACGUUACCCGCAGAAGAAGCACCGGCUAACUCCGUGCCAGCAGCCGCAGUAA
rnacentral:rRNA from 1 species